GAUGAACGCUGGCGGCGUGCCUAACACAUGGAAGUCGAGCGAUUUACUUCGGUAAAGAGCGGCGGACGGGUGAGUAACGCGUGGGUAACCUGCCUCAUACACAUGGAUAACAUACCGAAAGGUAUGCUAAUACAAGAUGAUAUAAGAGAUUCGCAUGGAUUUCUUAUCAAAGCUCCGGCGGUAUGAGAUGGACCCGCGUCUGAUUAGCUAGUUGGUAAGGUAACGGCUUACCAAGGCGACGAUCAGUAGCCGACCUGAGAGGGUGAUCGGCCACAUUGGAACUGAGACACGGUCCAAACUCCUACGGGAGGCAGCAGUGGGGAAUAUUGCACAAUGGGCGAAAGCCUGAUGCAGCAACGCCGCGUGAGCGAUGAAGGCCUUCGGGUCGUAAAGCUCUGUCCUCAAGGAAGAUAAUGACGGUACUUGAGGAGGAAGCCCCGGCUAACUACGUGCCAGCCGCCGCGGUAAAAC
rnacentral:rRNA from 1 species